rnacentral:rRNA from 1 species
GACGAACGCUGGCGGCGUGCUUAACACAUGCAAGUCGAACGAAAAGAGGGAAAGAGCUUGCUCUUUCCGGAAUUGAGUGGCAAACGGGUGAGUAACACGUAAACAACCUGCCUUCAGGAUGGGGACAACAGACGGAAACGACUGCUAAUACCGAAUAAGUUCCAAGGGCCGCAUGGCCCAUGGAAGAAAAGGUGGCCUCUACCUGUAAGCUAUCGCCUGAAGAGGGGUUUGCGUCUGAUUAGCUGGUUGGAGGGGUAACGGCCCACCAAGGCGACGAUCAGGAGCCGGUCUGAGAGGAUGGACCGACAAACUGGAAUUGAGACAAGGGCCAGAAUCCUACGGGAGGCAGCAGUGGGGAAUCUUCCGAAAUGGGCGAAAGCCUGACGGAGGAACGCCGCGUGAGUGAUGACGGGCGUCGGGUUGUAAAACUCUGUGAUCCGGGAAGAAAAGGCAGAGUGCGAAGAACAAACUGCAUUGACGGUACCGGAAAAGAAAGCCACGGCUAACUACGUG